rfam:Candidatus Nealsonbacteria bacterium RIFCSPLOWO2_01_FTLL_43_32 rifcsplowo2_01_scaffold_3609, whole genome shotgun sequence.
UAAUAUUGCAUUUACGAGCUGACGGCGGAUGCCUUGGAAUAUCGAGGCGAUGAAGGACGUGGGGAGUCUGCGAUAAGCUUCGGGGAGGUGACUCUCAACCUUUGAUCCGGAGAUUUCCGAAUGGGUAAACCUGUCCCGGCGUUGAGUCGGGACGCUGUGCACGUCACUGAUGUGCACGGAGCAAACCCGCUGAAGUAAAACAUUCCAGUAAGCGGAGGAAAAUAAAAUGAAAUUAUUCCCCCAGUAGCGGCGAGCGAAGAGGGAGAUAGCUUAAACCCUUCCGUAUUGAUACGGAGGGGGGUUGUAAGGGAGUAUUGUCCCCCGACGUUACGUCGGGGGAGGGAGAAAUUUAGGUGAGGCUUCGUUAGUUGAACGUCCCUGGAAAGGGCGACCAAAGAGGGUAAUAGUCCCGUAAGCGAAAACGGCUUUAUGCUCCUUGAUACUUUUCUUAAGUACUUCGAGACACGAAAAUCUUGAAGGAAUCCGGCCGGACUAUUCGGCCAAAGCUAAAUACUACGAUAUUUCCGAUAGUGAACCAGUACCGUAAGGGAAAGGUGAAAAGUAGCCCGGUGAGGGCGAUGAAAUAGAACCUGAAACCGUCAUGCUCACAACGAGUCAGAGCCCUGUACCAAUUUUGCUCCUGAAUUAUUUUGCGCAGUGCGUGCACCGAAUAGGUGCCCCCUAAUUGGGCGAAGCGCUGCGCCCCGAACGGGAUGUGGCUAUUCGCCACUCGCGCUUCGCGAUUAUUUCGGUGGCAAAAUUGGUACAGGGUGAUGGCGUGCUUUUUGCAGAACGAGCCAACGAGUUUUCUCACUUUCUUUAUCUAAAUCCUUUUGGGAUGAAGAUAUAGAGAAAUCAAGCGUUAAAAGCGCGUUAAUAAGAGAGUGGGAAAGACCCGAAGCCAAGCGAGCUUGCCAUGACCAGGGUGAACCCCGACGAAAGUCGGGGGGAGGCCCGAACCCGUGAGUCGUUCAAUUCUCUGGGAUGAGUUGUGGUAAGAAGUGAAAAGCUAAUCGAGCUUGGUAAUAGCUGGUUCUCCCCGAAAUAGCUUUAGGGCUAGCUUUUGCUAAAUUAUUUUCUGGAGGUAGAGCACUGGAUGGACUACCUUGAGAUUUUCUCAGGCAGUUCAACCAAACUCCGAAUGCCGGAAAAUUUACGCAAGAAGUAAGACCAUGAGGGCUAAGCUUCGUGGUCGAGAGGGAAACAGCCCAGACCUUCAUCUAAGGUCCCUAAACUGAACUAAGUGUUUAAGGAAGUAGAGCGCCAAAGAUAGUUAGGAGGUUAGCUUAGAAGCAGCUAUCCUUUAAAAAGUGCGUAACAGCUUACUAACUAAGGAAUUCUGCGCCGAAGAUUUAUUGGGGCUAAGUUCAGUACCGAAGAUAAGGGAACGUACAAUUUGCUUUGCAAAUGUUACGUUCGGUAGGGGAGCGUCCCGCCAACAGUGAAGCCUACGACGUAAGUCGGGGUGGAGUGGGCGGGAGUGAGAAUGUUGGCAUGAGUAACCGCAAUCAGGGUGAGAGCCCCUGACACCGAAAGCCCAAGGUUUCCUUGGCAAUGACAAUCAGCCAAGGGUGAGGCGGGCCUAAGCCCUGGUCCGAAAGGAUCGGGUGAUGGACAGCCGGUUAAUAUUCCGGCCCAUCCGUCAGAUAACAGCGAGAAAACGAAGAGCAGUACUCCGGGUGGAUAAUUGGAUUUCCAUUUGCCGCAUAAGAUUUUUCAAGUGCUGCAAGAAUUUUCUUCUUCGGAAGAAAAAACCCAGACGAGCGCUCUUCCAAGAAAAUUUUCGCUUAUAUUAUCUGACGGAUUCCGUACCGCAAACCGACACAGGUGGGCUGGUGUGUGAAUACACCAAGGUGAACGGGUGAAACCUCGUUAAGGAACUAGGCAAAAAAGUGCCCGUAAGUUCGCGAUAAGGGCUGCCCCAAUCCGCAAGGAUUAGGGGCUGCAACAAAAGUAUCCAAAGCGACUGUUUAUCAAAAACACAGGUCCCUGCUUAACUCGUAAGAGGAUGUAUAGGGGCUGAGACCUGACCAGUGCUGGAAUGUCAACGUUGUCGGUGUUUGCGAGCAAUCGUGAAUGCUGAAUAACCGAAGCACCAGUGAACGUCCGCGAUAACUAUAAUCGUGUUAAAGUAGAAAACGCACUGCUUUAGUAAAAUCUGGCUGUAUGCUGGGAAAUCUGUUGUAUCCGGCGCUACUCUGGUAUAAUAAAAUAAGGUACAAUAACACCUUAUCAUUAUGCCAAGUAAAAAAGCGUCCGGUGCAGACAAUCAGCAGGAAAGGCUUAAGUUUAUUGGAUGGAUUGUAGGAUUUGUUGACGGAGAAGGAUGUUUUACAGUAAGUUUCUUUAAACAUCCAAAGUCGCGUUUACGAUUGAAGUGGGAAGUAUUCCCGGAAUUCGUCAUUACACAAGGAAUGAAGAGCGGAGCCGCACUUAAGAGAAUUAAAAACCUCUUUGGCUGCGGAGCGAUUUAUAUCAAUAAGCGUCAUGACAAUCAUCACGAGCAUCUUCUCAAAUACGUAGUUCGUAACCGCGAAGAUCUGUUGACAAAAGUUAUUCCAUUCUUCGAAAAAAACCAUUUGCAAUCGGCAAAAAGAAAAGACUUCUGUAUUUUUGCAAGAAUUGUUCGGAUGAUGCAUAAGAAAAAACAUCUUCAAGAGCAAGGAUUAAAAAGAAUACAGCUGAUGGUGAGAAGAAUGAAUACGCGUAAGUAUCGAUAAACUUAAGAAUCCUCAGAGGCCAUACGCCAGACCCCGCUAAGCGGGGAAGAUAUGGUCCGAACUUCAUGGCGACAUGAAGAAUUCCAUUAAAUUAAAUGGAUCUAACAAAUUGAGCGUAGUCCCUUGCCGGGUAAGUUCCGGCCCGCAUGAAAGGUCUAACGACUUUGGAACUGUCUCAACGAGGAGCCCGGUGAAAAUGCAAUAGGGGUAAAGAUGCCCUUUACCUGCGGCUAGACGGAAAGACCCCGGGAGCUUUACUGUAGUCUGGCAUUGAGUUUUGGUUUUAGAUGCGUAGCGUAGCGGGCAGGCUUUGAAGUUCGCCUUUUGGGGCGGACUGAGCCACCAAUGAAACACCCGUCUUUUAAAACCUUUAUUCUAACUUUGUUUUAAACAACAGAAGACAGUGCUUGGCGGUCAGUUUAAGUGGGGCGCUUGCCUCCUAAAGGAUAACGGAGGCGUUUAAAGGUCGGCUAGCUCCGGAUGGAAAUCGGAGUCGUCCUGUAAAGGGAAAAGCCGGCUUUACUGCAAGGCAGCUGUGCCGCGCAGUUGGGAAACCAGAACUUAGUGAACCGACCCUUUUUUGUAGAAAAGGGGAAGAUCAUCAACCAAAAGUUACCCCGGGGAUAACAGGCUAGUAGGGCCCGCAAGUUCACAUUUACGGCCCUGUUCGGCACCUCGAUGUCGGCUCAUCACAUCCUGGAGGUGGAGAAGCUUCCAAGGGUUUGGCUGUUCGCCAAUUAAAGUGGUACGUGAGCUGGGUUCAAACCGUCAACCAAAACUUGUGUCUGUUGACAAGUUUGGCGGCACUAAACAGCGAUGUUUGGUGCAAAAAUCGACUAAUAUCGGUGAAGUCCUUGCAUGGCAACCUGUCGUAUGCUAGGAUAAUACCGAGGGAAGUUGUGUAUGUCUAAAUUAAUUUCGCGAACACAAAAAGCAUAUCUCGCAGGAUUUCUUGAUGGCGAUGGAAGCGUAUAUGUGCAGUUGAAACCAAAUAAAACCUAUAAGUAUGGUUUUCAGAUUGCAAUGUAUAUCGUCCUUUAUCAGUCACAAAAAUCCCAAAAGAGCUUUGAGAAAGUUUGUUCAUUGAUUGGUUUUGGUCAUAUGAGAGUCAGGAAAGAUGGUAUUCUGGAAUAUAUUAUUGGAACGCAAGAAGGGAUAGAAAAAUUCAUAAAGAUAGUUGACCAAUACGUAAUCAUGAAGAAACCCCAAGUGCAGCUAUUAAAAAAGAUAGUUGCCCUAAAAAACCAAAUUAGUUCUCAGAAAGAUUUCAGAGAAUUAGCGAAAUUGAUUGAUACUUUUCGUGGACUGAAUUAUUCUAAAAAACGAAAAGUUCAUAUAUUAACCCCGUAGAGACUUCUCGCAUUUGGCGAGAGAUGGAACAUAGUUCCAUAAUACGUCGACCUCUUUAUUAAAAGAGGGUGAUAUAGUCCAUACACUUAGUAAUAGGUGAAAAAUAUGCGUGAGACAGGUUGGUCCCUAUCUACCGCAGGCGUCGAGUCUUGAGGGGAGUUGGCCUUUGUACGAGAGGAUCAGGCUGAACUAACCUCUGGUGUACCAGUUGUUCCGCCAGGAGCAUUGCUGGGUAGCUAAGUUAGGCAGGGAUAAGAGCUGAAAGCAUCUAAGCUCGAAGCCCACCCCAAGAUGAGGACUCAUUAAAACCGGUCAGAGAACAUGACCUUGAUAGGCUCUAGGUGUAAGCCCGGUAACGGGUUAAGCCGAGGAGUACUAAUAAGUUAAAGUUAAUUUUAUA